ensembl:lncRNA
AAAAGAAGAAGAAGACGACUGAUGUUUGAUUUUCAUGUUUUCUAAAUUAGAUGAUAAUACAAUCAAGUUUCCUUUUUACAUUUGUUGUACAUACGAGAUCCGAUGAUGCUGAUAGGAAAAACUCACUCCAGUCGAACCCGAGUGGAUUGAUAAGGUAUGUGUAUAUAAUGUUAAGAGGUAUUGUGUAUGCAGUAGAACUAUUAGGCAAACAAUACCGCCAUUUAUAUAAACCUUCAGUUUUUGUUUUGUUUUUUUGUUCGGUUUUUUUGUUCCGUUUUGUUUCGUUCUAUCUCUGAGCCGUCAUCCUUUCCUAUAGCUGCCAUUUUGGUGAGAAAGCAUGCAGGCAUGUAAAUGUUUGUCCUGGAAUUAUGAUAUUUAAUAAAUCCUAUAUUGUGCUGAACAAAUACUAGGGUUGACUCACUCAAGCCCGGAUGAUUUUAAAAACAUAAUUAACAAACAUUUCACUUUCAAAAAUGAAGUUUUUUUGUUUUGUUUUUUUGCUGUCAAUACUACUGUAAUCUUUGUAACAGAGGUAAUAUUUCUUGGAAUUUACUGUACAUUUUUGUCAUGAGGCACACUCAGAAAUCAGCACCUCUCGAUGCGUUUUUUUAAAAAAAAAGAAGAAAAAAGAUGAAUUAUUGUCGUGUCAGCUUGAAAAACAAUCAGUCAUGAUGCAACCUUUCAAAUCUAAACGCUAUUUGAUUACAUUGCUCUAAUCCCUGUUUGACCUAUACAAAUACACUUUUUUAUUUUAGGUUUUUUUAUAGUGUUUCACGAUAUCCCGAUAAGAAAAGAAAAAAAAGUCAUCAUUUUACUGUUACUUUCCCUAAAGACUUUUGGAGUUUUGGUGCUGAAACACCUGUGUAUAUUCUCAAGACAUAAGCUGAUGUCAGUCCUUUAACUGCAAAACAGUUUAGACCUUUUGUGUUUUAAUCAGGAGAAGAAGAAGGAGGAGGAGGGAGAGUGUCCCAUGUUCACAAUGUUUGUUCUUUUUUGUUCUCAAUGGAGUGUCUAGGUCUGUUGUCACUGAUAACUUAUAUAACUUCUUGAAUCAUCUCUUCAUUGUAUUUCAAAUUCAAAUAAAGUUAACAUGUUGAUGAUAAACCCAAUGU